GCCUCAGGUAGCGGCGAGUGAGCGGCAAAAGCUCAAUUUGAAAUCUGGCGUCUUUGGCGUCCGCAGUUGUAAUUUGAAGAAGGUAUCUUUGGGCCCGGCUCUUGUCUAUGUUCCUUGGAACAGGACGUCACAGAGGGUGAGAAUCCCGUGCGAUGAGAUGACCCGGGUCUGUGUAAAGUUCCUUCGACGAGUCGAGUUGUUUGGGAAUGCAGCUCUAAGUGGGUGGUAAAUUCCAUCUAAAGCUAAAUAUUGGCGAGAGACCGAUAGCGAACAAGUACAGUGAUGGAAAGAUGAAAAGAACUUUGAAAAGAGAGUGAAAAAGUACGUGAAAUUGUUGAAAGGGAAGGGCUUGAGAUCAGACUUGGUAUUUUGCAUGUUGCUCUCUCGGGGGCGGCCGCUGCGGUUUACCGGGCCAGCAUCGGUUUGGAGCGGCAGGAUAAUGGCGGAGGAAUGUGGCACGGCUUCUGCUGUGUGUUAUAGCCUCUGACGAUACUGC
rnacentral:rRNA from 1 species